rnacentral:rRNA from 1 species
UAGGGAAUCUUCCACAAUGGACGCAAGUCUGAUGGAGCAACGCCGCGUGAGUGAAGAAGGGUUUCGGCUCGUAAAGACUCUGUUGUUAAAGAAGAACGUGGGUAAGAGUAACUGUUUACCCAGUGACGGUAUUUAACCAGAAAGCCACGGCUAACUACGUGCCAG